rnacentral:rRNA from 2 species
CAUCACUGGUGUUCGGGUUGUCAUGCCAAUGGCACUGCCCGGUAGCUAAAUGCGGAAGAGAUAAGUGCUGAAAGCAUCUAAGCACGAAACUUGCCCCGAGAUGAGUUCUCCCUGAGACUAUAAGUCUCCUGAAGGAACGUUGAAGACGACGACGUUGAUAGGCCGGGUGUGUAAGCGCAGCGAUGCGUUGAGCUAACCGGUACUAAUGAACCGUGAGGCUUAACCUUACAACGCCGAAG